CCGUCCUUCCUCUCCUAGCCUAAGGCGUGCAAACAGAGCGCCACUGGGAGGCUGAAACCUUUAGGCCGAUGCUUGCUUGCAAGGUCAGGCAAGCUGGAUUCUGGUCCCCACCUUUGCAGAGAGAACAGCGAUGUUGUGCGCCCAUUUCUCAGAUCAAGGACCGGCCCAUCUUACUACCUCCAAGAGUGCUUUUCUCUCUAAUAAGAAAACAUCUACUUUGAAACAUCUACUGGGCGAGACCAGGAGUGAUGGCUCAGCCUGUAAUUCUGGAAUUUCGGGAGGCCGAGGCAGGAAGAUUCCUUGAGCACAGGAGUUCCAGACCAGCCUGGGCAAUGUAGCAAGACGCUGUCUCUAUUUAUACAAUAAAAUUUUUUUAAAAAAGGAAA
rnacentral:lncRNA from 1 species